UUAUACUAAUAUAAAAGUAAUUAUGCUAGAACUAGUAACAAGAAAUUGAAUUUCUCUUAAAUGUAAGUAUAAGCCAUCACGGGACCACCCACUGGCGCUUAACGUCCUUGUAACCUCCAUAACAGCACCAUUCAAGAAGACCCUAUUAACUUCAACGUUAACCUUACACCAGAACAUUCCAGGAAAGAUUAAAAAAGAGAGAAGGAACUCGGCAAAUUUUAGCCCCGCCUGUUUACCAAAAACAUCGCCUCUUGACAUGAUAUAAGAGGCCCAGCCUGCCCGGUGACAAAGUUUAACGGCUACGGUACCCUGACCGUACGAAGGUAGCAUAAUCACUUGUUCCUUAAAUAGGGACUUGUAUCAACGGCAUCACGAGGGCUGCACUGUCUCCUCUCUUCAAUCAGUGAAACUGAUCCCCCCGUGAAGAAGCGGGGAUUAACCUAUAAGACGAGAAGACCCCAUGGAGCUUUAAACACGUGCUCACACUAUACUUACAUACCCCUUAACUAAAAGCCCUGAGUACAAGUUUUAGGUUGGGGAGACCGCGGAGAACAACCAAACCUCCACGACAAACGGCCCUUAAGUCCUUAUCCACGAGCCACAGCUCUAAGAAUCAAUACACUGAUGAUUAUGACCCGAUAUUAUUCGACUAACGAACCAAGUUACCCUGGGGAUAACAGCGCAAUCUACUUCAAGAGCUCAUAUCGACAAGUAGGUUUACGACCUCGAUGUUGG
rnacentral:rRNA from 1 species